UGGAAUAGUGUGCUGUGCAUCAGGGU
rnacentral:piRNA from 1 species